rnacentral:rRNA from 1 species
CCUACGGGCGGCAGCAGUGAGGAAUAUUGGUCAAUGGGCGAGAGCCUGAACCAGCCAAGUAGCGUGAAGGAUGACUGCCCUAUGGGUUGUAAACUUCUUUUAUAAAGGAAUAAAAUGAGGCACGUGUGCCUUUUUGCAUGUACUUUAUGAAUAAGGAUUGGCUAACUCCGUGCCAGCAGCCGCGGUAAUACGGAGGAUCCGAGCGUUAUCCGGAUUUAUUGGGUUUAAAGGGAGCGUAGAUGGGUUGUUAAGUCAGUUGUGAAAGUUUGCGGCUCAACCGUAAAAUUGCAAUUGAUACUGGCAGCCUUGAGUACAGUUGAGGUAGGCGGAAUUCGUGGUGUAGCGGUGAAAUGCUUAGAUAUCACGAAGAACCCCGAUUGCGAAGGCAGCUUACUAAACUGUGACUGACAUUGAUGCUCGAAAGUGUGGGUAUCAAACAGGAUUAGAUACCCCAGUAGUC